ACGUUGGGCCUGGUUAGUACUUGGAUCGGAGACGGCCUGGGAAUCCAGGUGUUGUAGACA
rnacentral:rRNA from 1 species